rnacentral:tRNA from 1 species
GAUAGUAUAGCUCAGUUGGUAGAGUGCCUGCUUAGCAUGCAUGAGGUCUUGAGUUCAAUCCCCAGUACCUCCA